UACGAAGGGGGCUAGCGUUGCUCGGAAUCACUGGGCGUAAAGCGCACGUAGGCGGACUCUUAAGUCGGUGGUGAAAUCCUGGAGCUCAACUCCAGAACUGCCUUUGAUACUGAAGAUCUUGAGUUCGGGAGAGGUGAGUGGAAUUCCGAGUGUAGAGGUGAAAUUCGUAGAUAUUCGGAAGAACACCAGUGGCGAAGGCGGCUCACUGGUCCGGUACUGACGCUGAGGUGCGAAAGCGUGGGGAGCAAACAGG
rnacentral:rRNA from 1 species